GGGGAUGUAGCUCAGUUGGUAGAGUGUUCGCCUUGCGUGCACAAAGACCUGGGUUCAAUCCCUAGCACUCCCC
rfam:Ictidomys tridecemlineatus contig033087, whole genome shotgun sequence.